rnacentral:rRNA from 1 species
CCUACGGGUGGCAGCAGUGAGGAAUAUUGGUCAAUGGGCGCGAGCCUGAACCAGCCAAGUAGCGUGAAGGAUGACUGCCCUACGGGUUGUAAACUUCUUUUAUAUGGGAAUAAAGUGCAGGACGUGUACCGUUUUGUAUGUACCUUAUGAAUAAGGAUCGGCUAACUCCGUGCCAGCAGCCGCGGUAAUACGGAGGAUCCGAGCGUUAUCCGGAUUUAUUGGGUUUAAAGGGAGCGUAGGGGGGUUGUUAAGUCAGUUGUGAAAGUUUGCGGCUCAACCGUAAAAUUGCAGUUGAUACUGGCAGCCUUGAGUACAGUUGAGGUAGGCGGAAUUCGUGGUGUAGCGGUGAAAUGCUUAGAUAUCACGAAGAACUCCGAUUGCGAAGGCAGCCUGCUGAACUGCCACUGACGUUGAUGCUCGAAAGUGUGGGUAUCAAACAGGAUUAGAUACCCCGGUAGUC